rnacentral:miRNA from 1 species
AUAUUAAUAAUUAAAUAGUAUAGCCGCGCGGCUGUACUAUUUUAAUAUAUACGAAUAUUCUAAACGUAUAGCCGUACGGCUAUACUCUUUAAAUAUAUGAGA